GAUGCUUUUGGUGAGGUGCCUUCCGAGUUCCCUGGAACGGGACGCCAUAGAGGGUGAGAGCCCCGUACGGUUGGAUACCAAACCUCUGUAUAGCUCCUUCAACGAGUCGAGUAGUUUGGGAAUGCUGCUCUAAAUGGGAGGUAUAUCUCUUCUAAAGCUAAAUAUAGGCUAGAGACCGAUAGCGCACAAGUAGAGUGAUCGAAAGAUGAAAAGCACUUUGAAAAGAGAGUUAAACAGCACGUGAAAUUGUUGAAAGGGAAGCGCCUAUGACCAGACUUGUUUCUGGCAGUUUCGUUAGCCCUCGGGCUGAUUUACUCUGUCCAGUACAGGCCAGCAUCAGUUUGUUGUCGGGGAGAAAGGCUCUGGGAACGUAGCUCCCCCCUUCUGGGGGGAGUGUUAUAGCCCUCUGCAUAAUACCCUUCGGCAGACUGAGGACCGCGCUUCGGCAAGGAUGCUGGCGUAAUGGUCAUCAGCGACCCGUCUUGAAACACGGACCAAGGAGUCAACCUUAUGUGCGAGUGUUUGGGUGUAAAACCCCAGCGCGUAAUGAAAGUGAACGUAGGUGAGAGCUUCGGCGCAUCAUCGACCGAUUCUGAUGUUUUCGGAUGGAUUUGAGUAAGAGCACACAGGGUUGGACCCGAAAGAAGGUGAACUAUGCUUGUAUAGGGUGAAGCCAGAGGAAACUCUGGUGGAGGCUCGCAGCGGUUCUGACGUGCAAAUCGAUCGUCAAAUAUGAGCAUGGGGGCGAAAGACUAAUCGAACCUUCUAGUAGCUGGUUCCAGCCGAAGUUUCCCUCAGGAUAGCAGUGUUGAAUUUUCUUCAGUUUUAUGAGGUAAAGCGAAUGAUUAGGGACUCGGGGGCGCUAUAUUGCCUUCAUCCAUUCUCAAACUUUAAAUAUGUAAGAAGCCC
rnacentral:rRNA from 1 species